AUUCCUCCAUCGCAGCCGUCUAGCCGAUCUUCCGUCUGUCCGUCCGUCCGAUCUGUCCAAGCCGAACCAAAACCAAACCUCAGUCAAGCCAUCCGUGUAGUCUGAAUCCCAGCCUGCAACAUUUGGUAUCAGAGCUCAAGCUCCUGAAUCUGGUGAUAUCUUAUCCUUGCAUCAUAUCUUAUUGCAUUUGUUCACCAAUUAAAAUCAAUUAAAAAAAAAACAUUCAUAGUGUUGCAUUUUCUGUCCGAUUUUGAAUUGCUU
rnacentral:lncRNA from 1 species